GGCAUUACAGAUUCAGGUAUGGGUAUUUUAUUUCAAGAUAUUUCAAGCCAGUGCUCGAUCAAUAAGUUCCUUCAAAUAAGUUUUAUAUCCUGUUUAUGGAAAAUCUCAGUAUUACACUAAAUGUAAGUAGUACUUUUAUGUCAGUAGAUUAACAGACUGGCAGUUGUACCUAGGCAACAUCAUUUAGGUAAUUGUACUUUUUUACUUCUUUUGUACUUAUUUCCCUCCUUAGUACUAAUUUCUGUGAUAAAUGCCUCAUUCUGAUUGGUCAAAACCCUAUACCAAAACAACAAUUAAUGUUAACAGCAAAGAGGGAAAAAAGGAUCAUACUUUUAAUAGAAAAUCAUCUAUGAAGGGGUUCAACAUUUGUACCUCUGCCUGUCAACACUGUUGUAAAAUGUCAGUUUCUGUUUGCAUAUUUAAUCAAGACUAAAGCUUUUGGUGGAUGUUAAGAUUCAAAAUAAAUAGUUAUGAAAUUUGCAUAAUUUAUGUUUAAACAUGUGACAACUGCAGAGUCAAAGAGGGAGAGCUGAAUAAAGACAGAAAUAAAAAUGAAAUCAGAUACAUACAUCCCAGCAGAGGUCCUGAACUUGACUGUAAACUGAAAUGUUUAGUUUAAUAUUAACUACCGUAAAAAGGCUCAUAAAAGCCCAUUACUGUCUGGGAAUCAAAAGGGACUUUUGUUUUUAACUGUAAGCAAAAACUAUUAAGCUGUUUAAAACAGGAUAAGCCGGACACAAAUGCAAAGCUAAGAGGGCUCUGAGUUCUGAUAGCCACCCAAUCACUAUACAUUAUAUUUAACAUAUAUUCUAGCAAACAGUGGCAGUAGUUAGAGGAAUGUUUUCAAUAACCAGUCAAACUAUUCAGCUUAGUUUUUUCACUUCAGGUAAUCAAAUUAACCUAACCAUCAUUAGUAUGAAAACAGUCUGCAUUGUUUCAACAAUAGUCGACAGAGCAUUUGAAAUAGGAUGGCUGCAUGAAAAGGGAAUCACUCGGCCCACUAACAUCAGAAUACUUGAGUGUAUUUGAAAGGCUCAGGCCGUAUAAAAAAAACAAUUAAUGGCUGUAUCAGAAAAAGGUGAGAAUUUGUAAUUGGUAAUCAUAGAUCACUGUGAGAAAAGAAAAAAGAUAAAUCUUUAUCGUUUAGUCCCUCUGCUCCUCCUACCAGAUUAAAAAUUCAUAGGAUUUAUUGAAGUGCUGUGGAAAUCCCAAAAUAUAUGCCAUUUGAUCAAGUGGGGAUUAAAAGUGUCAUUGUUCCUGUCAAUACGGGUUGGUGGCGACGUGGCAGUAUCGCAUUGACUCUUUGGUAUGAAUACUCAGUGUCCUAUUGGGCCAUCAGCUGAUUGUUUGGAAUGUAAAUGAUGCUGCUGAUGGCUCCGGUGACUGAUGGCUUAAAUUCCAAUUAAUCAAUUGCUUCAUCAGUUUCCCUAAUUCAGAUCAAAUAUCUCCUGAGUGCACACUCUUCUUUCAGUGGUAUUAGAAGAAAUAAAUGCUCCCAAAGUAAUUUUCAUCAAUCUCGUGUACAUGUCAAUAUCCCUCACAGGCCUAGUCCAGGUUGAGGACUUAAUGUCUUAAGAGUGUGUAUGUGUGAGUGUGUAAGAGAGGGAUUUGCAUAUUAGAGAGGGAUGGGAGAGAGACAAAUAGAGCAGCAUAUUUCUGUGUACUGAUUUGCUUUUGUUGUAAUUUUCUGCCAUGCAGUCACUGAAAGUCCAAAAAAUGAGAAGAUUAAAGUAUUUUUCAUAUAGAAAAGAAAAAACAUGAGAUGUAUUUGUGUGCAACUUUUCAGCCAAUUACUCAAAAUCCGUUCCAUAAACAGCAACGAGUCGAACAUAAACAGACAGCUUUAAUACCGCAGUACUGAUGAGCUCAAGGUCCAAAACAGACUUUGAAAAAGAAAACACAUGUAUUUUGUCCCUCUUAGCACACUGUGGUUCAGCUUUAGCAGCAUCUUUUCCAACAGGCAACACCUGCAGUUUUGAGGGAAAAAAAAGCUAAUGCAAAAAUGCUGAAAACUGCAGUUCCCUAAAUGUCCACUUGAGGCUGGAUCCUAAAGCUUUGGUGACCACAUACACACCCAUUCAAAAUCUUGACAGCAAAAGUUAAAGUUUAUAAAUGGUUUCAAGAAAAAAAAUGCUCUGAACUGCUCAUUUCUCUUUUUUCACACAUUUAAGGAGAGGUAAUUUUUUCUUAUAUGUUAUUAAGGUUAUGUAUUUUGCAUAAAUACAGGUAUUGCUGACUAACAGGCUGGAACACUGCAGCAACAGGCAACAAGGAAAGAGGUCUAAACUCUACACCCUCUUGCCCCUCUUCAGGCCGACUGAAAGUUAGACUAAUUCAGCAUUUCUAAACAGCCAUCAAUAAACCUCAAAUUGAAUAUGAAUAUGUUUACAUAAAGCGUUAACUUGAGUUAUAGUCAUGGCUUGAUGAGAUUAUGUUAUUGUACUAGUGUCCUUGUACUAGUUCAUAAACACCUAGCAUGAAUCGAGUUGUUGACAGAACCAUGUCUGCCUCCACUGCAGCAGGUGGCGAUAUUUCUUCUUUCAGCCCACUGCCAUUGGGACUGUGUACGUUUUACUUGUACAUUGUUUUAGAGCAAGGCUGUCUUUAAAAAAAAGAUAAGAGCUUUAUGAAUCCUAAAGGGAAAAUUCGAAAUUUCUGACAACAACCAAAUUCAACAGAGCUUCGAGAGUUUUCCUGUUUUGCGCUUUACUGACAUGUGUUGCACAUUUUUAAAAACACACACCUGCAUAUCUCUCGGUCUGUAAUAGUGUAAUCCUGAAUAACAGAACUACCACAGUAAAACUGUUUCCUGACAUAAAGUCAGACCACACUGAUGUAGCAGAACAGCAUUUAUUCAAAAAGUAUAUGAAUCCAGAAUCAAGAUCAUAAAGUUGCCUUCUUGCAUAUCUUAUAUUUAUUUUUGAGUAAGAAUCAUUCCGCAUUAUUUAAAUUUCCCUAUAAACUGUAUCUAAAAUGCUAAAUAAUGUAACUUUUAACAUGGGGUAGAAAUAGUGAGUAACUUGUUAAACUAUUUGGUAUAGUAAUUUGGCAGGAUUUAAAAAUCAUUAUUUUACAGCCCUCAUAAAAAUUAAAUGAGUGGAAUUGAAAAACUUUAUAAAAAUUUGAAAAGAGACAGAAAAAAAAAAUGUUAAGCGUAAUAGCUCAGAUUCACACAUGCAGUGUCUUUAGUUUUAUUCAUCUGAUGGUAGGUCAUGAUAAAAUAGUCUGUCAUGCAUUCAGGAAGCAGAUAAGUGUGUCACACCCUCAUGCUGCCUGAUUUUCCAGCGCUCCAGAAAGCAGUUAUGACAGGUCAUUAGAUCCCACCUGUAAGAAAAGCAACCUGACAUGAGCCAGCCCUUUUGUACCACAGGUCCAUACGUAUCACCACAUCUCAAAACCCAAGCUGCCACGGAAAGCCUCACUGUACGAUAAGCCUUGUCAAUUAUACAAAAUAAAAUCAACUAUUCAUAAGUAGGCUGUAAUAGGAUAUUGGCUGACAGAUUUAAUAAUUCAGUUUUGCUCAGGCUUAACUGGUAUUAGUUUGUAGCUAAUGGUCGCCUUUGUAAAAAAUUCAUUGAAGACAAUGCUGCAGUGAGAAGAUACACAUAAUUAUGCCUACUUCAUUUACUUUAGCCCCCCUGCAAUUUAGGAGCCACUUCUAAAGAGUCCUCAACUGUUUAAGCAUGCAGAAGCAAAGGUACUGUAAUUUGAUUUAUGAAUUUGAUCCCACCACCCCCUAAUUUAAUUCAUCAAUGUUUCAGAAGGAGCAAUUAUGCAUUGUGCUGCAGCUCUUCAUAGCUCCAUUAUCCAGCCUGAAUAUCUUUGUCACUGGGUGUGUAAUGGUAUUGCGACAUAUUCCAUAAUGGCCAGACGGGGCCUUGUCCCUCACACCCAUUAUUAGUGUGUCCUUCUUCUUAAAUUGAACUUUUUUUUUUUUUUUGAAUAAUAGCUUUUGACAACAGCAGAUAACAAGGACAUGACUAAGUUUAAGAGGCUGUGCGCUGCUAUGCUAUGCACUCAAGGACUUUGGCGUGUGUGUUUUUUUUUUUUUUUUCCCUGAUCUUUUGUUUCAUGUUAAGAAUAAAUAUGCCAUUUGCCAAACUAAAAGCUUUAUUUGAUGAGUCCUCUGCCUGCUGGUGUAUGAGCCACGGUAAGUAUGCAUUUCACAUAAUGUUUUAAUUUCUGUCAUAGUGGAAUAAUGGAGACCAAAGUGUUUUAACCUAAUUUGAAAAAGAAAAAAAAAAAAAAAUCUGCACUCAUGGGAUCAGAGCAUAAUUGAAACAGUUAUGUUUCCAUUUGUUCAUUCAGACAUUUCCAUUUAUUUGUAAAUCUGUCCUUUUGUCUAUGACCGCUCAUUGUCCGCUGAAACAUACGAAGAGCUUAAUGCUGAGAGAACACCAACUACGCAGUGUGGUGUGACGUAUUUGGGCACGAGGGGUGGUCAAAGCAAAAGAAGCUAUGAGAACACUGAGUGACGCAUCCACCCGUCCCCCCACCAGCCGCCCCUGCACCUCCACCACCCCUCGACAAAUGCUCAGCGGUCGUGAACUACAUCGAUCUGGGGUAUAAUUCUCUAUGAAAUUGAUGGAUGAGGGCAGCCAUUGACAGAAAGGGUAAAGACCACUUUGAGAUGUCCCCUGUGAAUAAGUAUGAUGGAAAAUAGAUUGUUGAAGAAGAUUUAUGUUUGUUCUCUGCUGCCACAGGAGAGGGCCACACUCGACACCCACCCUGCCUGCCUGCCUGCCUGCCCGGCACUGACCAAUCAAACAUGUCAUUGUGGUCAGAUUAAACUCACUGGCUCCUUUCAGCUGCCAGCUUUGUGACGAUUAGCUCAUUCUCUGAAUAGAAAGGGAAAGGAAACUUUUUUUUUAACUCCUGUCUCGGAGAAUCACGGUUCACAUAUGAGGAUUUUUCAGAACCUUGGAGGGAGCACGCUGUAGUAUAAGAAGCAGUUUGAUUUUAAGCAAACCAUUUUUUUAGGAGAGUUAACAAUGAUAAUUUUAGUUUAUUCUACCUCAAGUAUCCUCAUAUGUCUUAGAGUCAUAACUGUUACUUAAAAGAAUUUUGAAGCGCCCAGGUGUAUAGAAAAAUGAGAAUUUAAUUCAUUUCUGAGUAAAUGUAAAAAGACUGAAAAUGAUUUAAAGCUCCUGUCAUAAGUUUUUUUUUUUUUUUUUUUAUAAAGAAAAAAAAAUUCAAACUCACAUUAAUGCCUCUUUAAGGUAUCCGCAUUCAAACAAGACCAUCACAGACAAGACUGUGAUUUUUUUUUUUUAAUGCUGAACUUUUAAUGCCUGAAAUUGGGGGUAGGUGUCAGCUGAGCAGCUGUGGAGACAGCCCUGUUUUAGCAUUUUAUACAUAGAAUAUUCACAAUAGUAAAUACAUUUGACUGUCAAACGUCAGCAGGAUGAGAUUUUUAUCUACUGAAAUAGGUAGAUGACAAGCCAAGCAAAAACUGCUUUGACCACAAGGGGCGCCAAAAUCGACGAAAAACAAAAGUUCCUCACUGGAGCUUUAGGUUUGUCAGGGUACUAAACAUUACAUGUGAAUCUUAGCUCUUUCUGGUGUAUUUUUUUAAUACUCACCCAUGAAAACAAACAAAAACAUAAAUAAAUUGCAUCUCAAAUGUCUAUAGAAACUUUAACAGAGGAGCAUAUGAUAAUAACAAUGUAAAGCCUCAAGAGAAACAAAAAUAAUAAUAAAGGGAUCUAAACAUUUAACAUCAUCACUGAUCAAAAAUCCAAACACAAACCUAUUUUUGAGAGACUUGAAAUAACACUAAUCAGUCCAACUCCUUUUUUUUCCUUUUUCAAAAGUAAAGGGUAAAACCUGGUUACACAAGGAGAAAGCCCUUGUCCCAUUCAUAACAGUGUUUUAUUUUCAAGUUUAGGCUGAAUGUGUGAGGGACACUUUUAAAGUCUUCCUUACAGCAUUGUUAACUUCAGGAAAAACGCACCAGUAGAACAGAUCAGUUCAUCCACAUUCCAAACUUAUGAAAGAAAUGGUUUGAACUGAACAGUUUUGAUCAGCUUUAACAUAAUCGAGCUGCAUGAUCAAAAUAAAGAAGCUUUUCAGGGGGUUUGCCAUGUUACGAUAUUCCUCCUGCGUAUAAAGUCCCCACUGCACGCCCUCCUCUAGUUGUUUUAUAAAUGCACACGAUGUCUUCUCUCUUUAUUCUAUUGGCAUGGGUUUGCACCCAGUAGGCCUAUAGAAGCUGUUUCAGUCUGUGUGCUCCACUGCACAUGCUGCAUUUAACUGAGGAGAAAGGCAUUCAGUGGCUGGGUUUAGUGAAUGUGUGUACAGUAUGUGUAGCUCCUGUCCUGGCUCCUCUGUGCUGUAGUAUUGUUUGGCUGCCAGCAGUGUAAUCAGAUAAUACCACUGAGAGGUCAAAAGCACUGCAAGCUCCAGCUUCAGAUUUCUGUCACCUUUUACAAAAACGACCCAAAGAACCGUUUCAAAAAGUAUCUCUGCCCAGUGAGGUAUGAACAAGCAAACUUUGAAACUUUCAAUUACUGUGGAAGUAGUUGUUGAUAACUUUUGGCCAAAUGUAUUUACUCCAAGUAUAAUGUGUUAUUUCAUAUAUAUAAUGCUGAAUCCCUGACAUCUCCUGAACAUUUGAAAAUCUGUCUGUUCUUCCAAUUUAAUUCCUCCAGAAUCCCCAAAACAGUGUUCAUACUCUCAGAAAUCAGCAGUUUUCACAGAUCACUCUCUCCAUGAAGACUAUAUUCUCGAGAUCAGAGGAAAAUGUAGCUAAAGCAUGAUGGUCAUCUUUAACCCCUCUGAUGUCAUGAUGGACGUCUUGUGUGGCCUUAGCCUGUAGCCCCUUCCCAUGAUGCUCUGCUGGUAGGGGUCCCCUCCUUGCACAGCCUUUAUUUAUAUGAUCCUCUUAUGAAAACAUCACCUUUGGCUUCCCUGUGGGUUGAAACAGGAUAAAACUAGUAUCAAUUAGACAAAGAAAAAAAAAGCUCCUCCUACAAACUAAGUAUCCAAAACUUCAGGGCUCAGUGGGUCCCCCUUUCAUCAGACUGCCAGAGGGUAAAGACAUUUCUCCUUUGUUUAUGUUUGAUUUGGCAGCUGCUGCCGAGCAUCGUUUGUUGCCGUCAGAAUACACAAAGAGGAUUCUACCCUCUCUUUUAUUAAACCAGCUUUUCAUAAUGCACAAUUCUUUGCCUCAAGAGGACUACAGCAAGACCUUGUAAGACACUACAUCAAAAAUAUUGACAGAAAAUUGACGCUGUCAAACACACACAAAACCAAUUUCCAUAAUGCGUGACCUGUAAUUACUGAUGAGGUCAGAGUGGAUGUUUAAAGGGCUUUGUAUCUGCAUGACCUGGAUGAGUGAUCCUGUGUAUUGCAAAUCAAAGUGUGAAUGAGGAGAGGUGUUUGAUUCUUGCAUGAAAUAUGCAAAUUACUGAUGAUUCUUUUUAGCAUAUACCAUACUGGAAAGCUAACUUAGUGGAAAUGCGUGUAAUUCAAGGGGUGAAAACAUGUGAAAACAACACCUUUGGCUUUAUACAAUUAUGUGCAUUUUAGUACGAGUAAUGUAUUUUUAUGAGAUAGUACAAGCUGUAGUUAAUCUAUGAAGGCUAAAGAUUGUUUUCUUUCUUUAACUUUGUACAUACUCAUACUUUAAGACUGUACAUACUAUGGACACCUUGGCUCUGCCCUCUGUCAUUAUACGAAUUUGAAGCCGAAUUGCUCUCAGUAUUUGGGGAUCCGGGGGGAGAAAAAUGUGUAUUCUGUGUAAUUAAUUUCUAAAGUUUGUCCACAGCUCCACAGGGAUUGCUGGAGGAGGCGGGAUUUAUGACCUAUACUGCAGCCUGUCACCAGAGGGUGCUGUUCUCACGGUGGCUUCACCCAGCGAUGAGGCAGACGACAUCCAUUCUAUAUACAGUCUUUGAGUUAAACUCACCAUCUGAGGACCAAUCAGCUGUCUAUGCCCUGCCUCAUCAGUUCCUUGCAAAUUAGAUUCAAAAUCCAGAUUCUUGGAUAAAGUGCUGAUUUGCUAAAACACGGUGCAUUCAGUUAUUUAUGAAACCUGUACUUUAGUUUGGCUGAAGAGGAUGCUCUACUUUCCUCAGUUUUGCCCAAAAGGCUGGUUGAAUCUGAUCAUUCCCUCAAAACAACACACAGGCUAACCACAGAGUCCAAGUUUUGAAGAAUCACAAAAUUACGGCAUAGUAGAGAGCACGACCAGUCCAAGGUUGGUGCUAAAGAUGACGCUUCCUCAAAAGUGUCACCAAGUAACACUUCUGAGGAAGGUCAGAAGUGACACUUCUGAGGAAGGUGGAAGUUUCUGCCGAAACAUGUCAAGGUACAUGAAAAAUAUUACAUAUCUGAAAUAAAAGAAAAAAAGAAAAUCAUUUGUGAGCCCAGUGUUGACUUUCCUUGUAGUCCCAGUAGCUAAAAGGGCAGCUCUUUAUGUGUCAAAGGCUCUUUUAUUACCAUUUUUGGUUAUUUAUCUCAUACAUUAGCAUUAUAUGGAUACUAUUCUGACACUACAAUAAAGAGGGGCCUGCUGUGGAAAAAAACAAAACAAUGCUAUUUAAGCAGGAGGAGCAGAAAAGUAAAAUACGAUGAGAUCCUGAAGUGGUUAAAGCUGGAAAAUGUAGUCGUUUUUAAAUAUACACGUUUUUAAGCUUAUUGUGUUUUACAGGGUAAUACUGUCAAACAUGUCUUUGUUCAACAGUUUCACCAUGAGAAAAUUUAGGCAUUAUGAAGAGGUGGUAAGAAGACAUAUUACACUUAAAAAACUGACAGAGUUGAGCUCAGAAUCAGAUUAAACUUGUAGACUUAGGUUACGAGUUAAUUUAGGGAUUUGUAUUAGCACUCAAAAAAAUGCCACUACCACGAGUCCUCAGAAGUAUAGUGAUACAUCAGUGUGCUUCUCCCUGUGAUGACUUGUCACCUGUUUGAUUUCAUGCUGCUAAGAGACGUGCAGGACAGCGAGGAUGUCCAGCUGGUGAAACGACCUGUCACACUCAGCCAUCAUCUUAUGCAAAGGUGUAACCUAAACCUCCAUAAGACACCAGCGCUGAAAAAAAGGACGGGCGUCCUUAUACCUAAGGACCUUUAUAUCACUCCCCACGAGGAGAUGACACCGCCAAGAUCUCUGCUGCAGAGUUUGUUGUCUUCCAAAAGCACUUAAUGUGAUCAGAGAAUUAAAAUUUCAGCGAGUCAUUUAAUGAUAGCUCGGGCCAAAGGGGACUGCGGUGCAAAGCUAGAGUUUCCUCUUCUGCAGUCAUAUCUCUGGCAUCCUGAAACCGCUCGUUUUGUUCCUGCUGAGUACAUUACAGACCCCCUGAACGCCUCGCUCACUCCCUGCCCCGUUUAAUGUGAUCACAUGGAUUUAUUAUGGGCCAUGAGGUCAUUGGGAUUUUCUGUAAUUGGAGUCGGGCUGAAUUGUAUUAACAGGUCCACAACACUGUAAAGCUGAGGCAUCCACAUUUAAUUACCUUUAUUGAGCCACCGCGCAUUUUAUUUGUAAUGAAGCACAUGCUGAGAUUGAGGACGGGUUCAGAUGAUAUUUAAAUAAAAAAGAACAACUGUUGCCCUUGAACUGACAGGCUGGGUUCAUUAUAUCGCUUUUACCUCUCUUUAUUAACGGAGAUGGAGGGAUUGCUCGAGGAAUCUUGUAAAUAUGCAAAUUCAAACAUUACAAGGAUAUUUUUCAGGGAUAUUUUAAUGACUGGAGAAAAGAGCUUCUCAGCAACACUUAAAUGAAGCAUAUCAAAGCAGCAACACUUUCAAAUGGUUUCGCGUUAAGAGACUUGUCAUUUUUAAAAACCAUUCAGGAAUUGGGUAAUUUAGUAGUUUCAUACUCAUUUUCAUACUUCUUUCACUUAAGCUCUCGCAGCAUCUUUGUAUGUUUUGGACAUUAGCCAGUGAGUGUGUAUAGUGACGCGAUAUCAAUGUCAGCAGCACUUUUGGCAUGCACGUGUGUGUGUCUGUGUGUGAGUGUGUGUGUGUAAAUUUGUGUCAGUGCGCCUGUAUCUGUGUGUCUGGGCUGUAGAUGCUUUGUCUCGUUAAUGAGAGGCGUUCAGGGCCUCCACGGGGGCCUGUGGAAGAUAAUCUUCUCCUGUUUUGCUAUGAAAGCUCUUCUCAACGUAACCGAAGAAACUCACUCAAAUGGCGGAGGGCUGGGUUGAAUAAUUCAGCAUUUACAAUCAAUUUUGGUCCCCACUUCAUCUCGACACCUCCUCGGACCACAGGGGCCUGCAGGCUCAUCAUGGGAAUGUUGACAAUUCCCUGUACAAUGCACUCUCUGGCAACAUGAGAGGCUGUGGGAGCAUGGAUUUUUCAGCGAGUUUGCAACUUAGUAUGUUAAAUUAUUUAACCCUUUGACUGCUGUUUUAUAAUACAGAGGGAGAACAGCACUUUUUUUUUUAGCACAAUCUUUACCCCUUUUACUCCAGAGAGAGAAAAAUAUUAUUUUUGAUUAGCUGUUAUUUUAAAAACUCUAUGUCACCUACAUACUUUUUAAAGAUUAGACAUUUCUACACUGUUCAAAAUUAAAUCAAAUUAAACUCAUUAAACUAAAGUUAAUUUACUAAAGCAAAAUCAGUCAAAUAAGAAGAGUGAGGCUUUUGAAGAGUAAUAUCUGCAGAUUUUACUUAAAGCUCCCAUCAUGAAUAUUGAGAUUGUAUUUAUUCUAGCCUUGUGGAUAAAACAGUCUUUACAUGUCUUUUUUUAAAGUCCCCUUGGUCUCAGGUUUUUGUGGUUGGGUUCCUGUGUUGGCCGGGUAUCACAGAUUCUUAUGAUGUCUUCAUUUUAAUGUCUUCAUUUUAAUGACGUCUCAGCUCAUGUUACACUUAUCAAAGCUUUUCUGUCUUCCUCCAAUUUUUAAUUUUAUUUCAUUUUACUUCUUUAUUGCCAAUAAUGGCCUUUAUUCCUGAAACUGGGUGCCGUUCUCUUGACUUUCUGGUGCUCUGCUUCAGUCAGGGGAGGCACUCAGGAGAAAAGUGCGUGGCUGGUGAUAAACUGAAGCAUCUAUUCUGACUGAAGCAAGCUCGCUGAUGCUGUUGAACAAGUGUCGAAGCUGUCGCAAACCGCUAGGGGCAAAGAACUGCUGAACUGGUGCAAAGAUGGCUAGUAGAGGAAGUGACGUACGUUUCGCACAUGCACUGUACAAAUCGGGUUUCCUGGACGGAUUAGGUAGCGACAGACCACUUAGCGACUCAUUUUCAAAAAAGCACCUAGCAACAAAUGUAGCGUCUUUUUCAGAAAUUUGGAGACUCAUUUAUGAAAGCAAGAAGAGUAACAUUCUUACUCUGAAAAAUGAUGCAACUUUUACGACAGCCACUAGCGACUCUUCUUACUGAGGUGUUGGCAACACUGAGUGAGGGUGUUUGCCAGGAGGAAAACACUGCUUUGUCUACAAGGAGUGCCAAAAUUGCACAAAUCAAAAGUUCCUCACAGGAGCUUUAAAGUCAACGUCUUGGUCUGACAAACUCAGCCAUUGGUUUCUGCCAUUUAAAAUAACUCAAAAAAAAAUAUUCAUUAUUCUUUUAACAGUCUUGUUUGCUUUUCAGGGUCAUAAGAAGACACCAGUGUUCAUCUCAGUCUGUUUUAAAAACAAGUGAAUACUUAAACAUUGGAGCUUUAAGCAGAACAUCUGACUUUUUUUUUGUUUUAUAACCAUCAGCUAACGUGUGCGGAGAGUUUGAACACUCCCAGCUUUCCAGGGGCUUGGUUUUGCUGUGAUGGUGGAGAUUGGGGCGCAGUGUUGAAGCAAGGAGGUGGUGCAGCAGGCAGCUAUAUUCUCUGUACAAUAAGCUGCAGUAUAAUAGUCUUGUGGAUUACCUCAAUUGCAGGUGAUAACAGACAGGCAGUGGAGCGCACAGGCUGAUACAGGACACCCACUCCAGUGUGGGAAGCCGUAUGAAUUAUUUCUUGUCUGCCCGCAGACUGUCUAUGGGGGCCAGGGGGCCAGUGAUGGGUGGGAGGCUGUGUGUAUGUAUGUGUGGGUACAUGUUUGUGUGUGUCUUGGGGGGGGGUGGGGGUAUCUGUGCUAUGACUCAGUUUGACUUUGCAGGUAGAGCUAACUCAGGAUUACUUCUGUGAGUCAUAGCAGCAACUUUUAUUUUCUUUUUUACUUAGUGUUGAAUUAUUUUAAAUAUCUUUAUUUAAACAGUUUCAUUGAAAUGUGACGAAGAAAAAAAUGACAUUGUAUUUGAAUGAUAAGUUGGAUUCCAUGUUGUUGUUUCAUUGCGACGUGCAAUUUUGUGUCA